UGGAGCUGUGCUUCACUUAGUUCUGAACUCACCAGCCUGACACGUAGGGUCUGCACACGCACCAUCAAAAGCUGACGUGCAGAAACCACCUGAGUAAGAGGAAUAUGAAGCCCACAGGCUCUACAGCUAUCAUAAGAGCCCAUCAUGGAAAACCAAGGACUAAAUAUUUCUUUUGUUAACUUAAAACUUUAUUUCUAGUUUACUUUCAAUCAAAUAUUACUGAUCCAUUUCUGAAGAAGCAUCUGUUAGUGAUUGGUGCUCAGUCUCAGAGCAGUUCUUCACAGAACUGUGACGAUGAUGUCCUUCCCAUGGUCUCAGAGCAGUUCUUCACGGAGCUGUGAGGAUGAUGUAGGAUGACAUCCUUUCUGUGGUCUCGAGCAGUUCACGGAGCUGUGAGGAUGACGUCCUUCCCAUGGACUCAGAGCAGUUCUUCGUGGAACCGUGAGGAUGAUGUCCUUCCCGUGGUCUCAGAGCAGUUCUUCGUGGAACUGUGAGGAUGAUGUCCUUCACGUGGACUCAGAGCAGUUCUUCGUGGAACUGUGAGGAUGACGUCCUUUCUGUGGUUUCAGAGUCGUUCACGGAACUGUGGAGUUGACAUUUUUCCCACGGUAUCAGAGCAGUUCUUCAUGGAACCGUGAUGAUGAUGUCCUUCCUUUGGGGGCUUAGUUUCGUCCAGUUGUGUUCCUUGCCACCCUGUUGUUACCUGAGUAUAACCAGUACUGUGACAGGUGGAUUCACGUCAGUGUUUUGACCAAUACCAUUGAAUCGUUUUAUCUGACCACAUUAACGUUUUUUGUAAUUCAUCAAAUAAUUGUAAUUCAUAGUCGAAUAUAAUCUGUUAACACUUGGCAUCAAAUGGAGUGAGUUUCCAGAGAGUAAUCUGGAAUAAGCAAAGUUGGACAUUCACGGUAUGUCCUGGUUACCUGAAUUAUAUUGUUAAAUUAUCCUGUAAGAUUUGUUUUAAAAAUUGCUUUAAUAAUAACUUUUAAAUUUUCUUAAAAAUUUAUACAGCCCAUUCUGUAUAUUUAUUACAUGAAAGGUCAUAACUUGAGUCUGUGUCUUGGGCCCUGUUUCUCUAACUCCCAGGAAUUCAGUUGCUACCUGUGGCUGAGUUUGUGUCUCUCCCUGCCUGUCAGUGGACCCUUGUGCUGUGAGAGGGGCCUUGGUGGCGUCCAGGCAGGAGGGGUCUGCCCGGCUGUGGGAGAGCUUUCCCCUCAGUCCUGGCCCUCCUGCCUGUGGGCUCUGAGGUGCCGCCAUGCCCAGUCCUGGGUGGACCAAGCUUUGCUGUAAGAACGCCAGGCUCCUGUCACUGCUUCCUCUGCCUCUCGCUACCACUGCCGAAGGUCUUCAGGGUCACGAGAUGAGCACUAUCGAUCAGGGAGCUCUCACGAUAAUCAGGCGAAGUUGUGACUGUUGUCUCCUGUGUCAGAAGAAAAAACGGAGUCGAAGGGAUGACGGAACUCACCCAGUGGUCGAGGAAAGGCUGUGAGUCUCCGAAUGCACCCGGUGGUGGAGGAAAGGCUGUGAGUCAGUCGUGCUGUAACGAAUCUCUCGGUCCACACAGGCUCGUGUGAUCAGCCACUUCUGCAUCCUCCUCAGUCACCGUCUGCCUGGCCUCCUGGCUCUGCUCUUCUUUCUAGAGAGGUUUUAUGGCCUCGGGGAGUGUCACCCGUGCAAACGAGAAGGACGCAGCUGAGAGCCUGAAAGAAAAGCUGGUGCCACCUCCAGGGCGCCCCCUGCUGCCUUCUCCAAGGAGGCUUUGACCCCAGGAAAGCGUGUGGGGGUGGAAUGAAGGAGGAUUUGCUCCCAAAUCCAACCUCCGUUAUUUCACAGAGGUCUUAAGCCCUGACACAUAUUGAGACCUUCUCUUACUCACGUCAGUGUCUCGGAGGCCCCUGUCGAGUUCGGGAGUGUGGAGGUGCCCGCGUGCUCUCAGCCUGCGGUGAACGCUUCCCUCACUGUGUGUCAAUGCCACUGUGCAGGCGCCCUGUCUGAACACACAACACACCCAAACGUGCACGCAGGCGUGAGUUCACGUCGCUUCAGUUCUCAUGGAAGCCAGUGGGGGUCUGUCUUCCAUUUUAUAGAUGAGGAAACUGAAAUUCAGUGAUGCUGCCCCAUGGCUGACGAUCACACGGGGCCGCUCCUCGCAGGAGGAUGCAAGCCCACCUUUGGCCUGACAUCUUACCACACAGGAGAGGAGAUCCACGUCAGUCAGCAUUGCGUCUGUUUCCUACAUUCUCUCUCCAUGAUGCUGCAGCAGGGUUGAUAAACCCUGUGUUUACCUUCAGAUCGUGCCAUCUUCACAAUCCCAGCUACUAGUCUACGAGAUAAGUGUGGCGGGUUGUGGUUGUCUCACGCUCUUCUCUCUCGAUAAAAGCCUGAGAGAGGUGGGUGUAGCAGGAGAUGGUGAUCUCUUGGCUUUGGGCGCGUUUUCUGUUCACCUGUGCACCUUACCUCACCUCUUCAAAGGCAGGAAGGCGUCGGGGAGAGAGGCACAGGGCAGAGGGAGUGGCUGAGAGUGGGAGGGUGGGUAAAGGAGACCGACUCUUCAGCUCAGAGACUGCAGGCUCUGCCCUGGAGGGGAAGCCAGACCCAACGUGAGAAGUAUGGUUCAUUUAUCCUGUUUCUGUAAAAUUGUGAAAUACGGCACCUCUUCAUAUACAAUCCCUCCCGUUCCCCAUCCUGACUCAUGUGUCCACUGCCGUUAUAACCACACGACACUCUGUCCAUCUGUCUGCAUAUCUGUGUAUUCG